AAAGAACAAAAACUUUUCAGAAUUUCGCGUGUAACUCUUGCACAGGGGCCAUGCUUAUCUUUUCUGUAUCGUCCCAAUUUUAGUAUAUGUACCGCCGAAGUGAGUAC
rnacentral:snRNA from 1 species